UACGGAGGAUCCAAGCGUUAUCCGGAUUCAUUGGGUUUAAAGGGUGCGUAGGCGGAAUGAUAAGUCAGUGGUGAAAGCCUGCAGCUUAACUGCAGAACUGCCAUUGAUACUGUCAAUCUUGAGUACAUUUGAUGUGGGCGGAAUGUGUCAUGUAGCGGUGAAAUGCUUAGAUAUGACACAGAACACCGAUUGCGAAGGCAGCUCACAAAACUGU
rnacentral:rRNA from 1 species